rnacentral:rRNA from 1 species
GUGGGGAAUAUUGGGCAAUGGGCGAAAGCCUGACCCAGCAACGCCGCGUGAAGGAAGAAGGUUUUCGGAUCGUAAACUUCUAUCCUUGGUGAAGAUAAUGACGGUAGCCAAGAAGGAAGCCCCGGCUAACUACGUGCCAGCAGCCGCGGUAAUACGUAGGGGGCAAGCGUUGUCCGGAAUGAUUGGGCGUAAAGGGCGCGUAGGCGGCCCGGGAAGUCUGAAGUGAAAGUACUGCUUUUCAGGUGGGCAUUGCUUUGGAUACUGUCGGGCUUGAGUGCAGGAGAGGUAAGCGGAAUUCCCGGUGUAGCGGUGAAAUGCGUAGAGAUCGGGAGGAACACCAGUGGCGAAGGCGGCUUACUGGACUGUAACUGACGCUGAGGCGCGAAAGUGUGGGGAGCAAACAGGAUUAGAUACCCGAGUAGUCC